rnacentral:lncRNA from 1 species
GCGGCUAGGCUAUAUAUCAGAUAUUCAGAUGCUCUGCCAAUUUGGUGCUUUGAGUUGGAGAGAUGCAGCUGGCGUUAGGCUGGCUUAGGGUAUUUCCAACCCAGAAACCAUACGGUAUCUUAUCUUACUAUUACUAACUAGUAUAAUAUCCGUGCUAAUACUACGGUUUUAAGGUAUUUUUACACAAUAUGUAAUAACAAAAUGUUUACCAUUGGGCAUAGAUAGUGCACCGCCUAUUGUGGUUGUGGUGCCAAUGGCAACAUGGGUAUGAUCCCCUAGUGCGUCGGGUGGGAUAUUUUUUUUGUCUAAUAUAAUUGGCAUGAGAAGAUUAAAAUUAAAGUAUUUUUACACAAUAUAAUAACAAAAUAUUUACCGUUGGGCAUAGAUAGUGCAGCGCCUGGCCGUGAUGCCAAUGACAACAUGGCUAUGAUUCCCGAGUGCAUCGAGUUGAAUAUUUUUCCUGUCUAAUAUAAUUGGCAUGAUUUGGUCUAUCCCAGAGUAAUUAAUACCUGCAUAAUUUUUGUGAGUCGUACAAUAGUUUGUUUCACUCUAGUAGAGAGAGAAAUUAAAAUAAAACUAUCGAAGAGAUUAAUUACCCAUGGCUGAUGUUGUGGGCAAUGAUUCAGUCAAGGCAUAGGAAUUACUACUAUUUUAGGAUGUAGCCUUCUUUCGUGCUCGGUAGUUACGC